rnacentral:rRNA from 1 species
ACGAUGAACCACUUCGGUGGGGAUUAGUGGCGAACGGGUGAGUAACACGUGGGCAAUCUGCCCUGCACUCUGGGACAAGCCCUGGAAACGGGGUCUAAUACCGGAUACUGAUUGUCUUGGGCAUCCUUGAUGAUCGAAAGCUCCGGCGGUGCAGGAUGAGCCCGCGGCCUAUCAGCUUGUUGGUGAGGUAACGGCUCACCAAGGCGACGACGGGUAGCCGGCCUGAGAGGGCGACCGGCCACACUGGGACUGAGACACGGCCCAGACUCCUACGGGAGGCAGCAGUGGGGAAUAUUGCACAAUGGGCGAAAGCCUGAUGCAGCGACGCCGCGUGAGGGAUGACGGCCUUCGGGUUGUAAACCUCUUUCAGCAGGGAAGAAGCGAAAGUGACGGUACCUGCAGAAGAAGCGCCGGCUAACUACGUGCCAGCAGCCGCGGUAAUACGUAGGGCGCAAGCGUUGUCCGGAAUUAUUGGGCGUAAAGAGCUCGUAGGCGGCUUGUCACGUCGGAUGUGAAAGCCCGGGGCUUAACCCCGGGUCUGCAUUCGAUACGGGCAGGCUAGAGUUCGGUAGGGGAGAUCGGAAUUCCUGGUGUAGCGGUGAAAUGCGCAGAUAUCAGGAGGAACACCGGUGGCGAAGGCGGAUCUCUGGGCCGAUACUGACGCUGAGGAGCGAAAGCGUG